rnacentral:misc_RNA from 1 species
UUAAGUUCAGCGCGUAUUCCUACCUGAUCCGAGGUCAACCUUGAGAAGUUUCCUAGUUAAAGGAGAGGACCGUGUCCUGGGCGCCCUUGUCCGAUACGUGCUCAGUUAAAAGCUCAGUGUACCGGGGGAACCACAGGCCGCCGUCAUUGUCUUUAGGAGGGGUCAAUCGCUUGACCAGCCGUCUAACACCAAGCACAGGG